rnacentral:lncRNA from 1 species
CUGGAAGUGCUUUCAACUUUCCACAAGAUUUCCAAGAGCAAGUCAUAGAAUCCUGUUGGUGUGCCUCUCAGCACGGUCUGCACAGAGCACUCCGCUGCUGGUGCUCAGGAGCUGCCAAGAUCACAUCAGAACAUACACUGGUGGGAAGUGGAAGCAUAUUCUCUUGGACUCUCUGAUGAGGUACUCAGAAACUUUGAACAGAACUGGAAGACGUGUUUUCCAUUGGAGGUUGAAGAGCUUUCUGGCUUGCACCUGUAUUUGUGCAGAUGAUAUCUACAUUACUCUUAAAGCCACCAUCAAGGCGACUAUUGUAACUGGAGGCGUUGGUAUGAAGACGACUAAAGGCUACACCAUGUCAAACCCUCAAGUAGAAUUAUUGCCUUUCUUGCCUCAGUUCCCAGCUGUAUUAUGUCACCAAAUCACAUCACAGUGUAAUCAAAGAUGAAUAAAAUAUUUUUUUCUUUACCUUAAAUGCUUUUUCUGUCAAUUACAAUCAAAGGACAUGAUUUCAGGUCUGUCAGUUUGCAAGGCUCUUUCCUACUGAUGACUAAAGCCGUAAUGUGCUAAAUAUAAAAUGAAUCAGAAAAGUCUUCAAAUGAUUUUGCUAUUAAGAAGAAGAAUGUUUUUUUCCUCCCACAGGGGACAGAAAAGUAAUUGGUCUUUAAAGAAUGAAAUCAAAGAUUUUUUUUAAAAAAAUGACCCCUUGGUUUGUUUCCCUUUUAUGCCUCUCUUUUUUUCUGCUUUAAUUCUAAAUCUCUAGUUGCAACACGGAUUUGCUCUUCUGAGAAAAUAUACAUCAUACUCUCAUCAAAACGAUGAUUCUUUGUAAAUAUUUUAUUAGCCCCUUGUUUUCAUAUGUCCAUAACUUUCUUGCCACAUUACUGCCGAUUAGGUACCCUGUAAUAUUAGCAGUCAUUCAGCUAUAACCCAACUUCUAGGCAGGUUUCUGGCUUGAUUACAUUAUUAACCAUAAUCAAAAAAACAUUUUCCCAGAAUGAAUUUAGCUUGGUAGUUGGGAUUGCUUCCUUUGAUCUUCUUAGCGUUAUUUUACGAUAGGUUGCUCCUCAUUUACACUACAAAUGCUGGCAAAAAUGAAAGUGGUAUCUCUGCUAGCAAUGCCUGAUAAAAUAAAAUAACUGGUUCAGCAGUCUCUGCCA